GUUAAGUAUAAAUUAAUACCUCCUGCUUGGGGCAAACUCAUUACAGAUCACACCUGGUCAGAUCUUGCAGUUUUGCAAAGGUCUACACUCAAAAGUAAAUUUGUACUCCGUUGAACAUUUAAAAGUGUGACUCUCCUUUAUUCACGAAAUCUACGAAAUUGACAUGUUCCAACUAAUAAUGGAUCCGAAAUCUGCUAAACGUUUUCCGCGCCGUAUGAAAAUACAGAUACACACGUUCAAAUGUCAAACUGCUUGUUUUUGUGAUAAAACGUAUCUUGUAUACAUAUAUAUAAUGAUCGACACUGUACCCCAAAGAUUCCUCUAGAAUGGAUGAAUGUUGAUUGAUGACUCAAUUAAUGAUAUUUAUGAUAGAUAUAGGUAUUGUCCUCGAGAACUGAUUUUACAAAUACUAAAAACACC
rnacentral:lncRNA from 1 species